rnacentral:rRNA from 1 species
GACGGAAGGUGCAAGCGUUGCUCGGAAUCACUGGGCGUAAAGGGUGCGUAGGCGGCCUGGUAAGUCUGGCGUGAAAGCCCAGGGCUCAGCCCUGGAAGUGCGCUAGAAACUGCAAGGCUAGAGUGCCGGAGGGGAGAGUGGAAUUCCUGGUGUAGCGGUGAAAUGCGUAGAUAUCAGGAGGAAUACCGGUGGCGAAAGCGACUCUCUGGACGGCAACUGACGCUGAGGCACGAAAGCGUGGGGAGCAAACAGG